GACGAACGCUGGCGGCGUGCCUAACACAUGCAAGUCGAACGGGGGAUAGCAAUAUCCCUAGUGGCGAACGGGUGAGUAACGCGUAGACAACCUGCCUUCUAGACGGGGACAACGUUCCGAAAGGGGCGCUAAUACCGGAUGAGGUCUUCGGGCUGCAUAGCCUGAAGAAGAAAGGUGGCCUCUAUAUAUAAGCUACCGCUAGAAGAUGGGUCUGCGUCUGAUUAGCUAGUUGGUGAGGUAACGGCCCACCAAGGCGACGAUCAGUAGCCGGUCUGAGAGGAUGAACGGCCACACUGGGACUGAGACACGGCCCAGACUCCUACGGGAGGCAGCAGUGGGGAAUCUUCCGCAAUGGACGAAAGUCUGACGGAGCAACGCCGCGUGAGUGACGAAGGUUUUCGGAUUGUAAAGCUCUGUCUUUUGGGACGAAUGUUACGCAUGUAAAUAAUGUGUGUAAAUGACGGUACCAGAGAAGGAAGCCACGGCUAACUACGUGCCAGCAGCCGCCGCAGUAAAAC
rnacentral:rRNA from 1 species